AUUGAACGCUGGCGGAAUGCUUUACACAUGCAAGUCGAACGGCAGCACGGGUGCUUGCACCUGGUGGCGAGUGGCGAACGGGUGAGUAAUACAUCGGAACGUACCCAGUCGUGGGGGAUAACGUAGCGAAAGUUACGCUAAUACCGCAUACGUCCUGAGGGAGAAAGCGGGGGACCGUAAGGCCUCGCGCGAGUGGAGCGGCGGAUGGCGAGUUAGCUAGUUGGGGGGGUAAAGGCCUACCAAGGCGACGAUUCGUAGCGGGUCUGAGAGGACGGCCCGCCACACUGGAACUGAGACACGGUCCAGACUCCUACGGGAGGCAGCGGUGGGGAAUUUUGGACAAUGGGCGAAAGCCUGAUCCAGCCAUUCCGCGUGAGUGAAGAAGGCCUUCGGGUUGUAAAGCUCUUUCGGCAGGGAAGAAACGGCUUGGGAUAAUACCCCGGGCUAAUGACGGUACCUGAAGAAGAAGCACCGGCUAACUACGUGCCAGCAGCCGCCGUAA
rnacentral:rRNA from 1 species